rnacentral:rRNA from 1 species
UUGUCCUACGGGACGCAGCAGUGAGGAAUAUUGGUCAAUGGGCUUACGCCUGAAACAGCCAAGUCGCGUGAGGGAAGACUGCCCUAUGGGUUGUAAACCUCUUUUGUCAGGGAGCAAUUGGCGCUACGUGUAGCGUUAUCGAGAGUACCUGAAGAAAAAGCAUCGGCUAACUCCGUGCCAGCAGCCGCGGUAAUACGGAGGAUGCGAGCGUUAUCCGGAUUUAUUGGGUUUAAAGGGAGCGUAGGCGGAAUGC